rnacentral:lncRNA from 1 species
AUAAUUUUUAGUAAUUGAUUUUACCCCAGGAUCCUAACAGUAGGCUUUGGCCUUCACUGAAAGGUCUGGUUAGAUCCAAUGAUUAACAUGAUCAUACUCAGGAAUCAAACCAUAAAUGAUCGGCCUGACUUUGGUUGGUCAUCCUGAUAACCCAUAAGAGAGACUUGACUGAGUCAUCAUAUUAUGAAUGAUAAUUCCAAUAGC